rnacentral:lncRNA from 1 species
UCCUAUUCUCUGCACCCUCACAACUCAGCACACUUGUCAUUUUGUCUUCAACCUCUGUCUUCCUAGCUAGACUAAGAAGGUCCAUGAGGGGAAGAGCCAUGUAGAUCUUUUGAUAUGGUAGUACCAAUAGCUUGCAUGUUACUUGGUACAAAGUGGUAUGAAUUAAAUAUAUGUUAAAUGAAUACAUGAAAGACUGACAGACGAGGGACAACAAACACGUAAAAUAGAGUAAGGGAAAAAAGAAGAAUGUGAACAAAGGCU